rnacentral:rRNA from 1 species
CCAGACUCCUACGGGAGGCAGCAGUGAGGAAUAUUGGUCAAUGGCCGAGAGGCUGAACCAGCCAAGUCGUGUGAGGGAAGACGGCCCUACGGGUUGUAAACCUCUUUUGUCGGGGAGCAAAGCGAGUCACGUGUGACUCAUUGAGAGUACCCGCAGAAUAAGCAUCGGCUAACUCCGUGCCAGCAGCCGCGGUAAUACGGAGGAUGCGGGCGUUAUCCGGAUUUAUUGGGUUUAAAGGGUGCGUAGGCGGAUUUUUAAGUCAGCGGUAAAAUGUCCGGGCUCAACCCGGGCCGGCCGUUGAAACUGGGGAUCUUGAGUGGGCGAGAAGUAUGCGGAAUGCGUGGUGUAGCGGUGAAAUGCAUAGAUAUCACGCAGAACUCCGAUUGCGAAGGCAGCAUACCGGCGCCCGACUGACGCUGAGGCACGAAAGCGUGGGGAUCGAACAGGAUUAGAUACCCGCGUAC